rfam:Lachancea nothofagi CBS 11611 genome assembly, chromosome: G
GGUUUUAUAGUGUAGUGGUUAUCACUUUUGGUUUUGAUCCAAACGACCCCGGUUCGAAUCCGGGUAAGACCU